rfam:Danio rerio chromosome 25 genomic contig CTG2378, GRCz11 reference primary assembly.
CCAAAGGCUCUUUUAAGAGCCACUUCCAUGUCUUUAAGGGACUAUUU